rnacentral:rRNA from 1 species
UACGAAGGGGGCUAGCGUUGCUCGGAAUCACUGGGCGUAAAGCGCACGUAGGCGGAUUGUUAAGUCAGGGGUGAAAGCCUGGAGCUCAACUCCAGAACUGCCCUUGAUACUGGCAAUCUCGAGUCCGGAAGAGGUAAGUGGAACUCCGAGUGUAGAGGUGAAAUUCGUAGAUAUUCGGAAGAACACCAGUGGCGAAGGCGGCCCUCUGGACCGGUACUGACGCUGAUGCGCGAAAGCGUGGGGAGCAAACGGG